AGUGAACGCUGGCGGUAGGCCUAACACAUGCAAGUCGAACGGCAGCACAGUAAGAGCUUGCUCUUACGGGUGGCGAGUGGCGGACGGGUGAGGAAUACAUCGGAAUCUACUUUUUCGUGGGGGAUAACGUAGGGAAACUUACGCUAAUACCGCAUACGACCUACGGGUGAAAGCAGGGGAUCUUCGGACCUUGCGCGAUUGAAUGAGCCGAUGUCGGAUUAGCUAGUUGGCGGGGUAAAGGCCCACCAAGGCGACGAUCCGUAGCUGGUCUGAGAGGAUGAUCAGCCACACUGGAACUGAGACACGGUCCAGACUCCUACGGGAGGCAGCAGUGGGGUAUAUUGGACAAUGGGAGCAAGCAUGAUCCAGCCAUACCGCGUGGGUGAAGAAGGCCUUGGGGUUGGAAAGCCCUUUUGUUGGGAAAGAAAAGCAGCAGGUUAAUACCCCGCUGUUCUGACGGUACCCAAAGAAUAAGCACCGGCUAACUUCGUG
rnacentral:rRNA from 1 species